rnacentral:tRNA from 1 species
GCGAAGGUGGCGGAAUUGGUAGACGCGCUAGCUUCAGGUGUUAGUGUCCUUACGGACGUGGGGGUUCAAGCCUCCCCCCCCCUCGCACCA